GACGAACGCUGGCGGCGUGCUUAACACAUGCAAGUCGAGCGGAAAGGCCACUUCGGUGGUACUCGAGCGGCGAACGGGUGAGUAACACGUGAGUAAUCUGCCCCUGGCUUUGGGAUAGCCACCGGAAACGGUGAUUAAUACCGGAUACGACCACUUCUCGCAUGUGAUGGUGGUGGAAAGUUUUUUCGGCCAGGGAUGUGCUCGCGGCCUAUCAGCUUGAUGGUGAGGUACUGGCUCACCAUGGCUUCGACGGGUAGCCGGCCUGAGAGGUGGACCGGUCACAAUGGGACUGAGACACGGCCCAGACUCCUACGGGAGGUAGCAGUGGGGAAUAUUGGACAAUGGGCGGAAGCCUGAUCCAGCAACGCCGCGUGAGGGAUGACGGCCUUCGGGUUGUAAACCUCUUUCAGCAGGGACGAAGCGCAAGUGACGGUACCUGCAGAAGAAGCACCGGCCAACUACGUGCCAGCAGCCGCCGUAA
rnacentral:rRNA from 1 species